GAUGAACGCUGGCGGCGUGCCUAAUACAUGCAAGUCGAGCGAACGGACGAGAAGCUUGCUUCUCUGAUGUUAGCGGCGGACGGGUGAGUAUCACGUGGAUAACCUACCUAUAAGACUGGGAUAACUUCGGGAAACCGGAGCUAAUACCGGAUAAUAUUUUGAACCGCAUGGUUCAAAAGUGAAAGACGGUCUUGCUGUCACUUAUAGAUGGAUCCGCGCUGCAUUAGCUAGUUGGUAAGGUAACGGCUUACCAAGGCAACGAUGCAUAGCCGACCUGAGAGAGUGAUCGGCCACACUGGAACUGAGACACGGUCCAGACUCCUACGGGAGGCAGCAGUAGGGAAUCUUCCGCAAUGGGCGAAAGCCUGACGGAGCAACGCCGCGUGAGUGAUGAAGGUCUUCGGGUCGUAAAACUCUGUUAUUAGGGAAGAACAUAUGUGUAAGUAACUGUGCACAUCUUGACGGUACCUAAUCAGAAAGCCACGGCUAACUACGUG
rnacentral:rRNA from 1 species